rnacentral:miRNA from 10 species
AGGGGAGAACUCUUGCAUGACUGG